ensembl:lncRNA
GUGAGGCCGGGCCUGGCGGGGGAAGAGGGGGCGGGAGCCGGGUAGCCGCGGAAGGAGGGUGAUUGAUCAGUGCGCCGUUCCCGGCGCUCUGUCCCGUUAUUAGAGGCGGCCAAAGCAGGGCCACGCAAUAACCUCCGAAUCGCCAACUAAUUGACGCUGCAGGCAACUACUUCAUUGUGCGCGCUGGUUUUAUGUCUUCAUAGCCGGUGAUUGACAAGGUGUAAUUAGUCAUCUCACUCGGUGAUAAACAUGGGCACCCUCCUCCCGCGGCAUCAGGCCGUGUGUACCAGCAGAGGAAGCGAUAGUUGACGCUGAUAUACCAUUAAAUCAAAAUGAAGACGUUCAGAAGCAGGGAUGUUGCUCUUGGAGAAUGUGAAGACAGUUUGCUUCUUGACAAGCGAGCGAACGGGCGCCCAGAUUUUUGCAGCCUCUCGAGUCUCUCCCGAGGGAAAGGCAGGCAGAGAAAACGCCUGAUUUGGGAGCCACCAGGGAAGGAUUCCGCGCAGGGGGAGCCGCCCUCUUUGGCCCCAGACCGGCCUGCCGGGGACCCCCUUUGGGCACAGCCAACGGAUGACCUGAAACACUGAGGAUGGUGCUGGGGGUUGGGGUGGGGAAAGCCUUUUGGAUAAUAACUGCAAAGAAGAAAGAGGUGAAGACAACUGUUUCUUCUCUGCCUUGCAGCAGGAGGAACUGUGUUCUUAGAGCUGUUGGCUGCAGUCACAGGGCCAGUUGCCUGCCUCGGUUCCCUGAGUAAAGUGUAAUGUCUCCUGUUCUCAGGGUUGCACCCUUCAGCAAAUUAUAUACCUUGCUCAGCUGUGAAGGAAUCGGCAAAAAAAAUAUGAAUAUACUAGGCUGGAGAGUGUUCAUCUCAGCAGAGGAUUUACCAUUAUUGAUUAGGGUGGGGAAAGUUUGUAUCUGGGUCCGCUUAAAUCACAUUGUCAACAAUGUAAAUCUGUCAGAUCAGAUUAUUCCGAAAGCACUAUUGUAACAAAUACACAAAGCUAAUUGCAUCUCUCUACCUUCUAAUUUCCAUGCAAGAUGUAAACUGCCCUGGAAGCACACAAAAAAAGUAAAUAUUGCAACGUGUCAUUUUUUAAAACUGGUGUACCUACCACUAUUGCUUGAGAGUGAUUUUUCUUAACCUAACCCAGAAUACUACUCAGUCCUAGAAGGGACCCUAGUCCUAGAAUUUUGCUCAUUCUGUUAAUCUGGUUACUUUUUAGGUAGGAGCACAACUAAAAGCAAUGAAUUUCCUCACACAGGGAACCACAUUUUGCUAAAAGGAAAAUCAGGAAGAUUGUAUGGGGAAAAAAAGUGGGGUUGGGGG